ACGCUCGACACCUACGGAGGCAGCAGUGGGGAAUAUUGCACAAUGGGGGAAACCCUGAUGCAGCGACGCCGCGUGAGUGAAGAAGUAAUUCGUUAUGUAAAGCUCUAUCAGCAGGGAAGAAAGUGACGGUACCUGAGUAAGAAGCCCCGGCUAACUACGUGCCAACAGCCGCGGUAAUCUGAGCGGGCUGGCAAGGC
rnacentral:rRNA from 1 species